GAACAGUGAAGAUGAAAGCACAGUGAUGUGCACACAGUAUGGGCUUGAUGAACAUGUGGUCUCAAGCAGCACCCCCGGAACUCACUGGGGUCACAGUCCCCUCAACUCACUGGGGUCACAGUCGUCGAUGUCCUGAUCACAGGAAGGACCACUAUACCCCCUGUGGCAGGAGCCUCCAUCACCGCACGGGCUGGACGCACACUCGUUGAUCUCCACGUUGCAAAGGGGCCCUGAAGAGCAUGAAGGCAACCUCAUCCCAGGACAACGGCCAUGGUGCCGACAGGGAAGGGCAGCCUUGCCCCGUUUAGCCACACCCUUGGGCAAGAACCAUCUCAUCUUCAUAACACAUCAGCUCUUGUCCACAUUAAGACAGCCACCUCCUCAAGCCAAAGCUGCGUCACCCCAGAUCAUACUCACCCCAAACUUACAUGAAGUCACCUUCAUUUUCACCAAGGAUUACUUUGGCCCUAUGCAGAAACACCCCCCUCCUUGAGACUGUGGUCAACCUCAGGCCAACAAGAGAGAGCUCAAACUCAA